ACUUGUGCUCUUCCAUCUGUUUGUCCUCUGUAUCACUGAUUCUGUGUUCUGCCUCAUCCAUCCUUGCCUCCGUGACCUCCAUUUGAAAUUGCAGCUCAGUCACAGCAUUUUUUAUUUCAUCUUGACUAGCUUUUACUACUU